AGUGAAGCGGUAACAGCUCAAAUUUGAAAUCUGGGUCUUUCAGGCUCCGAGUUGUAAUUUGUAGAAGAUGCUUUGGGUGCGGUCCCGGUCUAAGUUCCUUGGAACAGGACGUCAUAGAGGGUGAGAAUCCCGUAUGUGAUCGGUGGCUUGCGCCCGUGUAAAGCUCUUUCGACGAGUCGGGUUGUUUGGGAAUGCAGCUCUAAAUGGGUGGUAAAUUUCAUCUAAAGCUAAAUAUUGGCCAGAGACCGAUAGCGCACAAGUAGAGUGAUCGAAAGAUGAAAAGCACUUUGGAAAGAGAGUUAAACAGUACGUGAAAUUGUUGAAAGGGAAGCGCUUGCAACCAGACUUGCGCGGGGUUGAUCAUCCGGGGUUCUCCCCGGUGCACUCGGCCUCGCUCAGGCCAGCAUCGGUUUCGGUGGUUGGAUAAAGGCCUUGGGAAUGUGACUUCUUUCGGGGAGUGUUAUAGCCCUCGGUGCAAUGCAGCCUACCGGGACCGAGGACCGCGCUUCGGCUAGGAUGCUGGCGUAAUGGUUGUAAGCGACCCGUCUUGAAACACGGACCAAGGAGUCUAACAUCUAUGCGAGUGUUUGGGCGUCAAACCCAUACGCGUAAUGAAAGUGAACGGAGGUGAGAACCCUUAAGGGUGCAUCAUCGACCGAUCCUGAUGUCUUCGGAUGGAUUUGAGUAAGAGCAUAGCUGUUGGGACCCGAAAGAUGGUGAACUAUGCCUGAAUAGGGUGAAGCCAGAGGAAACUCUGGUGGAGGCUCGCAGCGGUUCUGACGUGCAAAUCGAUCGUCAAAUUUGG
rnacentral:rRNA from 1 species